AGCUUGGCUCAGUGGCAAUAUCGUAGCCAAUGAGGUUUAUCCGAGGCGCGAUUAUUGCUAAUUGAAAAGAAUAGAAAUAUAAAAUUUUAAUGGGCCUAAGACUUAUAAAGGUUAAUAAUCUCAUUUCACUUGAAA
ensembl:snRNA U4 U4 spliceosomal RNA